rnacentral:rRNA from 1 species
GUGAGGAAUAUUGGUCAAUGGGCGAGAGCCUGAACCAGCCAAGUCGCGUGAAGGAAGAAGGAUCUAUGGUUCGUAAACUUCUUUUGCAGGGGAAUAAAGUGCGGGACGUGUCCUGUUUUGUAUGUACCCUGAGAAUAAGGAUCGGCUAACUCCGUGCCAGCAGCCGCGGUAAUACGGAGGAUCCGAGCGUUAUCCGGAUUUAUUGGGUUUAAAGGGUGCGUAGGUGGUUUGAUAAGUCAGCGGUGAAAGUUUGCAGCUUAACUGUAAAAAUGCCGUUGAAACUGUCGGACUUGAGUGUAAAUGAGGUAGGCGGAAUGCGUGGUGUAGCGGUGAAAUGCAUAGAUAUCACGCAGAACUCCGAUUGCGAAGGCAGCUUACUAAGCUACAACUGACACUGAAGCACGAAAGCGUGGGGAUCAAACAGGAUUAGAAACCCCGGUAGUCC